AUUUGGCCCAUGGUUCUGCAGGCUCUACAAGAAGCAUGGCUCCAGCAUCUGCUUGUGGUGAGGCCUCAGGACGCAUUCAGUUCAUGGAAGAAGAGGAAGGG